rnacentral:rRNA from 1 species
AACGCUGGCGGCAUGCCUUACACAUGCAAGUCGAACGGUAACAGGUCUUCGGAUGCUGACGAGUGGCGAACGGGUGAGUAAUACAUCGGAACGUGCCCGAUCGUGGGGGAUAACGAGGCGAAAGCUUUGCUAAUACCGCAUACGAUCUACGGAUGAAAGCGGGGGAUCUUCGGACCUCGCGCGGACGGAGCGGCCGAUGGCAGAUUAGGUAGUUGGUGGGAUAAAAGCUUACCAAGCCGACGAUCUGUAGCUGGUCUGAGAGGAUGAUCAGCCACACUGGGACUGAGACACGGCCCAGACUCCUACGGGAGGCAGCAGUGGGGAAUUUUGGACAAUGGGCGAAAGCCUGAUCCAGCCAUGCCGCGUGCAGGAUGAAGGCCUUCGGGUUGUAAACUGCUUUUGUACGGAACGAAAAGCCUCUUUCUAAUAAAGAGAGGUCAUGACGGUACCGUAAGAAUAAGCACCGGCUAACUACGUG